UCCAGGGGAAGGUUCGUCCGCCCUGGGUUAGUCGGGACCUAAGCUGAGGCCGAAAGGCGUAGGUGAUGGCCAACAGGUUGAUAUUCCUGUACUACCGAUAACCGUUUGAGAGAAGGGAUGACACAGUAGGAUAAGCUAAGCACCCUGUUGGUUAUGUGUGCCCAAGCAUUGAGGCAGUCAAAGUAGGCAAAUCCGCUUUGAUAAUGCUGGGAUGUGAUGGGGAGCGAAAUUUAGUAGCGAAGUAGCUGAUUUCACA
rnacentral:rRNA from 1 species